CUAACAAGGAUUCCCUAGUAACUGCGAGUGAAGCGGGAAGAGCUCAAAUUUUGAAUCUGGCGGCGUUUCGGCCGUCCGAGUUGUAAUCUAGAGAAGCGUCUUCCGCGCUGGACCGUGUACAAGUCUCCUGGAAGGGAGCGUCAUAGAGGGUGAGAAUCCCGUCUCUGACACGGACUACCAGUGCUAUGUGAUGCGCUCUCGACGAGUCGAGUUGUUUGGGAAUGCAGCUCAAAAUGGGUGGUAAAUUCCAUCUAAAGCUAAAUACAGGCGAGAGACCGAUAGCGAACAAGUACCGUGAGGGAAAGAUGAAAAGAACUUUGGAAAGAGAGUUAAACAGUACGUGAAAUUGCUGAAAGGGAAACGCUUGAUGUCAGUCGCGUCGGCCGGGGAUCAACCUUGCUUGAUUGCUGGGUGUACUUCCUGGUGGACGGGUCAGCAUCAGUUUCGAUCGGCGUAGAAAGACUAGGGGAACGUGGCACUCCUCGGAGUGUGUUAUAGCCCUUGGUCAUAUGCGGUGGUCGGGACUGAGGAACUCGGCACGACCUUCGGGCUUGUGUCUAGGAUGCUGGCAUAAUGGCCUUAAGCGACCCGUCUG
rnacentral:rRNA from 1 species